rnacentral:rRNA from 1 species
GAUGAACGCUGGCGGCGUGCCUAAUACAUGCAAGUCGAGCGAACGGACGAGAAGCUUGCUCCUCUGACGUUAGCGGCGGACGGGUGAGUAACACGUGGAUAACCUACCUAUAAGACUGGGAUAACUUCGGGAAACCGGAGCUAAUACCGGAUGAUAUUUUGAACCGCAUGGUUCAAUAGUGAAAGACGGUCUUGCUGUCACUUAUAGAUGGAUCCGCGCUGCAUUAGCUAGUUGGUAAGGUAACGGCUUACCAAGGUAACGAUGCGUAGCCGACCUGAGAGGGUGAUCGGCCACACUGGAACUGAGACACGGUCCAGACUCCUACGGGAGGCAGCAGUAGGGAAUCUUCCGCAAUGGGCGAAAGCCUGACGGAGCAACGCCGCGUGAGUGAUGAAGGUCUUCGGAUCGUAAAACUCUGUUAUUAGGGAAGAACAAAUGUGUAAGUAACUAUGCACGUCUUGACGGUACCUAAUCAGAAAGCCACGGCUAACUACGUG